GAUGAAGAACGUAGCGAAAUGCGAUAAGUAAUGUGAAUUGCAGAAUUCAGUGAAUCAUCGAAUCUUUGAACGCACAUUGCGCCCGCCAGUAUUCUGGCGGGCAUGCCUGUCCGAGCGUCAUUUCAACCAUCAAGCCCCCGGGCUUGUGUUGGGGACCUGCGGCUGCCCGCAGGCCCUGAAAACCAGUGGCGGGCUCGCUGUCACACCGAGCGUAGUAGCAAUCACCUCGCUCAGGGCGUGCUGCGGGUUCCGGCCGUUAAACAGCCUUACAAAACCCAAGGUUGACCUCGGAUCAGGUAGGAAGACCCGCUGAACUUAAGCAUAUCAAUAAGCGCAGGA
rnacentral:misc_RNA from 1 species